GUGAGGAACACGUGAGAAACCUGCCUUUCAUUCUGGGAUAACACCGGGAAACCGGUGCUAAUACCGGAUACUUUCCUUGGUGGGCAUCCACUGGGGAAGAAAGAAUUUCGGUCAAGGAUGAUCUCGCGGCCUAUCAGCUUGUUGGUGAGGUAAUGGCUCACCAAGGCGACGACGGGUAGCCGGCCUGAGAGGGUGACCGGCCACACUGGGACUGAGACACGGCCCAGACUCC
rnacentral:rRNA from 1 species